rnacentral:rRNA from 1 species
AACGAACGCUGGCGGCAUGCCUAACACAUGCAAGUCGAACGAGACCUUCGGGUCUAGUGGCGCACGGGUGCGUAACGCGUGGGAACCUGCCCUUAGGUUCGGAAUAACUCCCCGAAAGGGGUGCUAAUACCGGAUAAUGUCUUCGGACCAAAGAUUUAUCGCCUUUGGAUGGGCCCGCGUUGGAUUAGCUAGUUGGUAGGGUAAAAGCCUACCAAGGCGACGAUCCAUAGCUGGUCUGAGAGGAAGGUCAGCCACACUGGGACUGAGACACGGCCCAGACUCCUACGGGAGGCAGCAGUGGGGGAUAUUGGACAAUGGGCGAAAGCAUGAUCCAGCUAUGCCGGGUGAGUGAUGAAGGCCUUAGGGUUGUAAAGCUCUUUUACCCGGGAUGAUAAUGACGGUACCGGGAGAAUAAGCUCCGGCUAACUCCGUG